AGUGAACGCUGGCGGUAGGCCUAACACAUGCAAGUCGAACGGCAGCACAGUAAGAGCUUGCUCUUACGGGUGGCGAGUGGCGGGCGGGUGAGGCAUACAUCGGAAUCUACUUUUUCGUGGGGGAUAACGUAGGGAAACUUACGCUACUACCGCAUACGACCUACGGGUGAAAGCAGUGGAUCUUCGGACCUUGCGCGUUUGUAUGAGCCGAUGUCGGAUUAGCUAGUUGGCGGGGUAAAGGCCCACCAAGGCGACGAUCCGUAGCUGGUCUGAGAGGAUGAUCAGCCACACUGGAACUGAGACACGGUCCAGACUCCUACGGGAGGCAGCAGUGGGGAAUAUUGGACAAUGGGCGCAAGCCUGAUCCAGCCAUACCGCGUGGGUGAAGAAGGCCUUCGGGUUGUAAAGCCCUGUUGUUGGGAAAGAAAAGCAGCAGGUUAAUACCCCGCUGUUCUGACGGUACCCAAAGAAUAAGCACCGGCUAACUUCGUG
rnacentral:rRNA from 1 species